UCUCUCUUUUGCUCUCAGCCCCUCUUCUCUUCCUCUCAGCCUAUGAAAGCAGAUGAAUUUCUGCUCUCAUCCUCUCUUCUCUUCCUCUCAGCCUAUGAACCAAAUCGAGUUUGAUGAAUCAGUUUCGAUUCAGUUUAGCUUCUUUAUCAUCUAUAAUAGGAUUUUUAGGGCUUCAUCAAUCGAUUUUAGGGUUUCAGUCUGUAUUGUGAUUCAUUUUUUCGAUUUUAGUUUGUUCGUCGGAGUUCGAACUUGGAAGAACUGAUCUUCACUCGUCGCUAAUCGUGAGAAAGCACCUGUUCUACUUUGUUUAAUUUAUGUAUCUAUUUUUGGUUUUGAUUUCGAUUUAUUUUCAGCUAGAUUUAAAGUGAUAAUUGAUUUAGGGUUUAUUGUUCAAUCGAUUAUGAGAAUUGGGUUUUUGAUUAGGGCAUUUUAUUCAGAUUUAUUUUCAGAUGCAGAUGAGAAUGAAGUUGAUAAGUUAACAGAUAACCUACAAGGGGUUGGGAUUGCUUCUGCUAGUGCUAAUGGUUGCGUCCUAACAACUUCUAAAGGUAAUUUUGAUGUUUUGGGUUAUUGGUUAUUUUUAGUAUUCUGCAAUAUAAACCCAAAUCUCUUGUGAGGGUGUCGUUUGCAGUCUAUAUUUUUAAUUAGAAUCCAUUGGAGAAAAAGUAGCAAGAAGAAGAUUUUGCAGUAUUGGGUAUAAACCUUAAUCUCUUGCUUAUUUUGUUUGCUAUGCUCUAUGUAAAAAAAGUCAUGGUUGUUUUUAUCUCUGGUUCAUGUCUGUGAUUUUGGAUAUGGAAGUAUGUUAUUCUCUUGCUAGUUCUUCCUUCUGGAUUUUCCAGAGUAGUUUAAUUCUAGUUGUUAAUGUUGUUGUCUAGCUUAAUCUUGCUGCAUACUUUGAGAUGAUGUUUCAUUAUAAGUCUUACAAUGUUUUUUAAACUAUUUGUUUCGCAUCUUAUAGAAUGGGCCUUUCAUUGAGAAGCAGCUAGCUACUGGUUUUUGCUUCAACAUGUCAAUGAUUUGCCAGGCCUUUUUUUGUUUUGUUUACGAGUAUUUAUUUUGGGAGUCCCUUUUGUUUUGACGAUGCUUAGGCUUGGUUUAUUAAAUUUCUGGAAGCCUUUACUAAAUGAAAGGAAUGUCUAGUUUGAUUGUUCUAUUGGUUUUCUAAAUUUUUAAGUUGGUUGUGUAAGACUUACCAGAUAGUUUGAUGAUUACUAGUUACGAGUUUGUAGAACAAUACUGAGGUCAGUAAAUGUUUGUGUACGUGUGUACAAGCGUGUGUUUUGUGAAAAAGGUAUCUCCCAGGAGGUCAGUAGAGAUGCUCUGGGGCAUGUAAGUAAGGAGUGUGACAAGCAAGGUUUCCCAAUGACGCAAGGAGUUUUGACUUCAGGCGGAGUUAGGCUCCUGAUAUAUAGAGCUUCCGUGGACGGGGGAGAUGUAAUGGUGAGAGGAGAAGGAAGUCUGUCCGUAGGUGCAUCAUGAAACCAAGAGAUGUCUGUGUUGAACUUGGUUAUCUUGAAGAAAGGAAAGAAUGAUCUACCUGGGUUGACUGAUGUGUAGCAUGGGUAUGUUGUUAAUUUUAAUACAUAUUCCAGAUUUCUUCAUAUCUGUUGUGCUUUCUCGUUUGAUACAGUUAUCGAGAGCGGUUGAUCCCUAUAAUUGUGGCAUUAGUGUUGUUAUUUUCCUGCAAGAUAAGGUACUGAGGCAGUAGUAAUGUGCACAAAAUGUGGAAAAGAGGAGAUCCUUCUAGAUUCAUUGUUAAGUGCAUAUUUUGCAUAUAUUCAGUGUCGAAUUCAUGCUAGUAAUUACUUAGUUUCUUGUUACGUUUGUUAUGUUUUAUUUAUGUUUUGCUAGGUGAAUCAUCCAAAAGGAAUGAAUUGGCACUUAAUUGUGCAAUAAAAGAAAUUAGCCACAAAUGGAGAAAGGAUAAAUACCAAGUGUAACUCGUUCGAAUCUAGGAGUUCUUGCUAUCAUUUCGAAGAGGACGAAAAUACGAAGCCAACGGCGAAAGAAUGGAGUCAAUCCGACAUUGUAUGAAGAAAUUACGAGCGUCCGAAGUGAGUGAAAUAUACGGAAUUUCUGACGCACAAAAUUGAUAAAGGCGCCGGUUGUAUUACUCAGGGCCACCAUCUUGUCCCUUCCUUUCUGUGACCAGAAGACACUGUGUAUUCAGUUCCGGUGGUAAUUCUUCAUGGCAUAUGAGCACGCUGAUCAUGGUGCGGUGGUGAUUAUCAGAAGCGACGACGAUGGAUCUCGGGGCUGUGUUGCUGUCACUGGCAGUAAUGCAGGAGAAACUCGUGAUGGUUGGAAGUUGAUGUUCUUGGUGAUUUUAUGAGUCAAGCCAUGGUAGAUAAUGAUAGAGAGAGUUCGAACUGUGUCUCAUGUUGAUGGGCAGUGAUGAUCGCUGAUGAUGGAAGAUAAAGAGAUCGACAAGUUCAGGGAAUGGAAUGAAGAUGGUCAUUGCUGCUGUGAUGAUCAUGGCAGUUAACGGCAAUGUCAUACGAAUGAGCUGAGAAGAACAACAGACCGACUAAAGUGAGUUAUAGAUUGGAGAACCCGAUAUGGGUGGUGAACUGUUACUGCCAUUGCCAGCAAAUGGAGGAUAGUGCUGCAAGUCGAGAGGACCUGAAGCUAUACUAUGGAACCUUAACGAGAUGGAGACUGCUGGUGAUUAUUGACGGAAGUAUGGACGUUGGCAGUAGAUGAUGGAGUGUGUUGGUGGUCUGUCGAUCACGAUGGUAUUGAUGGAUAACAUGGAGAUGUUGUUGAUAGUAUUAUUGAUGACGAUGGAGUUUGGAUAGAGAUUUGAGAGGAAUUGGAGCUACGGUAGAAAACCAUACCGUAAGAUAACUCAAGAGUACUACGGUGGAUUUACCCAACCAUACGUAACAACAGGGAAGGUUACGGUGUGAACUUUCAAACCGUAUGAAAACACAGGCGAGGCAAUAAAUGGGAAACACCACAGUACAUAAACACAGGUGAAAUAACGGGAGAAGAGAAAAAUUGUCGAGGGAAAAGUUUAUUGAAGUUCUGUUGUCAGUUUCCUAAAACUGACAAGCCAUUGACGAAUUUGGGUUGGGCUUCUACCAUUCUAUGCGAGCCCAUUAGCUGUUUUCAAAAAUCCUUCACACGGACAGACUUUAGGACGUGACUUCCUUAUGGCAUUUCGGCUAGUUUUGGCAAUUGAUUUGGACCGGGAUUUGGCGCAUGGGCACAACUAAGGGUGCACACGGUACGGUUCGGCUCGGUUCUUACCAAGACCAAGUACAUGUACCUCCCUAGACUCGGUCCCAAAAUUUUGGACCGGUACCUGUACCUCGAUUCCGAUACUGUUCGGGACCAGUACGGUUCCGGUACUAUACUGGGUUCCAUACUUUGCAAUUUUUCCUGUUAAUAAGGACCUGUUUUACUAAGCAUGUAUUGAAAGUAUUGUUAUUUGUUAACAA